rnacentral:lncRNA from 1 species
CCCUCAGCACUGCUGCCCUGGGGACUGGCUCCAGCUGGAACCUUGGGGACACAGUCAACCCCCACAGCCUUCAUGGGUGUCCAGGUGACCUGGGUCGCAACCUCUGACCUGUGAGAAGUGACCAUGACCUGGCGUGAAGGGAUGAUCUGAAACCAUCAUCGCUUCCCCGGUGCUGGGUCUUGAGAGCGGGGAGGACCUGGUGGUCCCCAGCCGGGACAGACACCUCGAGAGGUCCAGAGGCUCCUGGGGCAGGGGCCAGGAGGUGAAGGUGGCGGCCCACGCUCGUGCAAGCUGUGGGGACGAGGCUGCAGAGGCCACCAUCCCAGCUGGGACCAAGGACAGGGAGCGACGCGGAGUCCUCUGAGCAGUGCGGUCGGUGUUGCCAGCGGAGCCGGGCAGCAGACUGGCCAGGACUCAGGCACCUGCUCAUUAAACACAGCCCACCUCAAAGCCCUUCACAGAGGAAUCCAGGUGCACGCAGCCGCUGGGGAGGAAGGUGCUGAGGCCAGUGAGAUUCCCGCGGCAGCCGCCUGCUGAGCGGCCUCCCAGCCCGGCCGCUGCUCGCUGCUGCUCUGGUUAACUAGCCAGGACCAGCUGACCUCUGCACCAUCCAGGGGGCAGGAAGAGCAGGCGGCGAGAGGGGCAGCGCUGGAGGAGUGGAAUUACCAUCCCACGCAUGGACGGCCAUCUGCGGGACCCCAGGGAGCCUCCCCACACCGGCAUCCUGCCGACCGCCCUUCUUCUGUGAAAGUUUCUCUGCAGCCCCUCCUCGACCCCUACCCUCCUUCUCAGGAAUCAAGAGGAAGCCAGCGUUCCUGUUCCCACUCGGCCCCCAUGUCCACCCCGCGCCCUCCCGCAGGCCCUCUCUGGGCUCAGGAGGGUGGUUUAGAUCCUCCAGGGCCAGGCUCCCUGGUCCCCUCCACGCCUUGGCACCUGCUGCUCCUGCUGACUCAACCCUCCCUCAUUCCUGUCCACAAAGAAUCACCAUAGAAACCAGCUCUCCCCCCGGCCUGGAGCAGUGUCCUCCAAGGACACCCAGGACACUGGGCUCUUGACGCACCCCCGUCCUUUCCCGGUGCAAGGGCAGG